rnacentral:rRNA from 1 species
UACGUAGGGUGCGAGCGUUAAUCGGAAUUACUGGGCGUAAAGCGUGCGCAGGCGGUGAUGUAAGACCGAUGUGAAAUCCCCGGGCUUAACCUGGGAACUGCAUUGGUGACUGCAUUGCUGGAGUAUGGCAGAGGGGGGGUGGAAUUCCACGUGUAGCAGUGAAAUGCGUAGAGAUGUGGAGGAACACCGAGUGGAGCGGAAGGUGCAGCCCUGGGCCAAUGACUUGACG